UAAUUUAUCAAAGACACCCUAGAAAUGAAUCCCAAACACAGCCCAAAAUAGUAUCGCACUUAAUUUCGUGAAAUCAAAGUAGAAUCAAAACCCAAAAUCAAAGCAACUAGAACUGAACUUGCUUUAUCUUGGUUUGUCUUCUUCAUGAAGACCGUCGAAUUCAGAUAUUCAUCUUGUUUUAUGUUUUUCAUAAUCAUCAGGCCUGGAGAUCGAAAUUUCGUUUUGAUUUUUCGAAGUGCAGUCCAGCAGACUCGCAAACGAGAGAUGCCUCUAAAGAAGGGGUAUUGAAAUCAAAAUCGAUAUCAAGGAAGAUAACGCCAUGUCGCCAUCUGAGCAUCGAGAAAAAUGAGUUAGUGUUAUUUUUCCUGUUCAUCUACAGAUUUUAUCGAGAAUCAUAUUCUAAGAGCAAGUGGGUGAGAAAUUCUUGGGAAAGAAAGGCCAUUGUCUAGAAGAAGAGAGCCUCACUUAAUGACUUUGACAGGAUGAAGAUCAUGUUGGCAAAGAUGAAGGUGACAUAACUUUCAGAUUGCAGUUUAAAAAUUGAAUCAAUACCAGACUAUUGCUAGAAUAACGCUCUUCAUUCAGGCCUAUUGGUGACAAGUUUAUUGGCAGGUGGUGUCAAACCUACAACAUAUGUUGCAGUUAGUUGGUAUAAAGUUGGAGGAUUAGAAAGUCGAUGGUUAAGCUGUUAACUAGAUGUGUACAUGUAUGUUUACCUUUGUGUGGCUAAUUUGUAAGAAUAUGUUGUCCCCUCACUUUUUGAAAUACAUACAACACUACAUGUUGCUUUUGAUUUACAAUUUUUGUUUUCA